rnacentral:rRNA from 1 species
UACAGAGGGUGCGAGCGUUGUUCGGAAUUAUUGGGCGUAAAGGGAGUGUAGGCGGCUCUUUAAGUCUUCUGUGAAAUCUACGGGCUUAACCUGUAACGUGCAGAGGAUACUGAGGAGCUUGAGUGUCGGAGAGGAUAGUGGAAUUCCCGGUGUAGAGGUGAAAUUCGUAGAGAUCGGGAGGAACACCAGUGGCGAAGGCGACUGUCUGGCUGACAACUGACGCUGAGACUCGAAAGCAUGGGGAGCAAACAGG